rnacentral:tRNA from 1 species
GCCCGGGUGGUGAAAUCGGUAGACACAAGGGAUUAAAAUCCCUCGGCUUAUGGCUGUGCGGGUUCAAGUCCCGCCCCGGGCACCA